rnacentral:rRNA from 1 species
AUGAACGCUAGCUACAGGCUUAACACAUGCAAGUCGAGGGGCAGCAUCAUCAAAGCUUGCUUUGAUGGAUGGCGACCGGCGCACGGGUGAGUAACACGUAUCCAACCUGCCGACAACACUGGGAUAGCCUUUCGAAAGAAAGAUUAAUACCGGAUGGCAUAGUUUUCCCGCAUGGGAUAAUUAUUAAAGAAUUUCGGUUGUCGAUGGGGAUGCGUUCCAUUAGGCAGUUGGCGGGGUAACGGCCCACCAAACCAACGAUGGAUAGGGGUUCUGAGAGGAAGGUCCCCCACAUUGGAACUGAGACACGGUCCAAACUCCUACGGGAGGCAGCAGUGAGGAAUAUUGGUCAAUGGACGAGAGUCUGAACCAGCCAAGUAGCGUGAAGGAUGACUGCCCUAUGGGUUGUAAACUUCUUUUAUACGGGAAUAAAGUUAGCCACGUGUGGCUUUUUGUAUGUACCGUAUGAAUAAGGAUCGGCUAACUCCGUGCCAGCAGCCGCGGUAAUACGGAGGAUCCGAGCGUUAUCCGGAUUUAUUGGGUUUAAAGGGAGCGUAGGCGGGUUGUUAAGUCAGUUGUGAAAGUUUGCGGCUCAACCGUAAAAUUGCAGUUGAUACUGGCGACCUUGAGUGCAACAGAGGUAGGCGGAAUUCGUGGUGUAGCGGUGAAAUGCUUAGAUAUCACGAAGAACUCCGAUUGCGAAGGCAGCUUACUGGAUUGUAACUGACGCUGAUGCUCGAAAGUGUGGGUAUCAAACAGGAUUAGAUACCCUGGUAGUCCACACAGUAAACGAUGAAUACUCGCUGUUGGCGAUAUACAGUCAGCGGCCAAGCGAAAGCAUUAAGUAUUCCACCUGGGGAGUACGCCGGCAACGGUGAAACUCAAAGGAAUUGACGGGGGCCCGCACAAGCGGAGGAACAUGUGGUUUAAUUCGAUGAUACGCGAGGAACCUUACCCGGGCUUAAAUUGCAACUGACGGAACCGGAAACGGUUCUUUCUUCGGACAGUUGUGAAGGUGCUGCAUGGUUGUCGUCAGCUCGUGUCGUGAGAUGUUGGGUUAAGUCCCGCAACGAGCGCAACCCUUAUUGCCAGUUACUACGCAAGAGGACUCUGGCGAGACUGCCGUUGACAAAACGGAGGAAGGUGGGGAUGACGUCAAAUCAGCACGGCCCUUACGUCCGGGGCUACACACGUGUUACAAUGGGGGGUACAGAAGGCAGCUACACGGCGACGUGGUGCUAAUCCCGAAAGCCUCUCUCAGUUCGGAUUGGAGUCUGCAACCCGACUCCAUGAAGCUGGAUUCGCUAGUAAUCGCGCAUCAGCCACGGCGCGGUGAAUACGUUCCCGGGCCUUGUACACACCGCCCGUCAAGCCAUGAAAGCCGGGGGUACCUGAAGUACGUAACCGCGAGGAGCGUCCUAGGGUAAAACUGGUGAUUGGGGCU